AUUGUGCCAGCAGCCGCGGUAAGACGAAGGUGGCAAGCGUUGCUCGGAAUCACUGGGCUUAAAGCGGGCGUAGGCGGCCCGGCCAGUCGGGUGUGAAAUCCCUUGGCUCAACCAAGGAACGGCGCCCGAUACUACCGGGCUUGAGGCGUCUAGGGGCGACUGGAACUCUCGGUGGAGCGGUGAAAUGCGUAGAUAUCGAGAGGAACGCCAAUGGUGAAGACAGGUCGCUAGGGGCGUCCUGACGCUGAGGCCCGAAAGCUAGGGGAGCAAACGGGAUUAGAUACCCCGGUAGUCCUAGCCCUAAACGAUGCACACUAGGUGGGGGAGACUCUGACAGCCAUCCCUGCCGCAGGGAAACCGUUAAGUGUGCCGCCUGGGAAGUACGGUCGCAAGGCUAAAACUCAAAGGAAUUGACGGGGGCUCACACAAGCGGUGGAGCAUGUGGCUCAAUUCGAGGCAACGCGAAGAACCUUAUCCUAGGCUUGACAUGGGAGUGGUAGGAGGCCGAAAGGCCGACGACCCCGCAAGGGGAGCUUCCACAGGUGCUGCAUGGCUGUCGUCAGCUCGUGCUGUGAAGUGUCGGGUUAAGUCCCUUAACGAGCGAAACCCUUGCCCUUAGUUGCCAGCGGGUCAUGCCGGGGACUCUAAGGGGUCUGCCACGGUGAACGUGGAGGAAGGUGGGGAUGACGUCAAGUCCUCAUGGCCUUUAUGCCUAGGGCUGCACACGUGCUACAAUGACGGCUACAGAGGGAAGCGAGGCCGCGAGGCGGAGCCGAUCCCUAAAAAGCCGCCCCAGUUCGGAUUGCAGGCUGAAACCCGCCUGCAUGAAGUUGGAAUCGCUAGUAAUCGCGGAUCAGCUAUGCCGCGGUGAAUGUGUUCCUGAGCCUUGUACACACCGCCC
rnacentral:rRNA from 1 species